rnacentral:rRNA from 1 species
UACGUAGGGUGCGAGCGUUAAUCGGGAUUACUGGGCGUAAAGCGUGCGCAGGCGGUUCUCCAAGUCCGUUGUGAAAGCCCCGGGCUCAACCUGGGAAUGGCAGUGGAAACUAGGGGACUGGAAUCUGGCAGAGGGGGGUGGAAUUCCGCGUGUAGCAGUGAAAUGCGUAGAGAUGCGGAGGAACACCGAUGGCGAAGGCAGCCCCCUGGGCUGACACUGACGCUCAGGCACGAAAGCGUGGGGAGCAAACAGG